rnacentral:rRNA from 1 species
CGUGCUAAUCUGCGAUAAGCGCCGGUAAGGUGAUAUGAACCGUUAUAACCGGCGAUACCCGAAUGGGGAAACCCAGUGUGAUUCGUCACACUAUCAUUAACUGAAUCCAUAGGUUAAUGAGGCGAACCGGGGGAACUGAAACAUCUAAGUACCCCGAGGAAAAGAAAUCAACCGAGAUUCCCCCAGUAGCGGCGAGCGAACGGGGAGGAGCCCAGAGCCUGAAUCAGCAUGUGUGUUAGUGGAAGCGUCUGGAAAGGCGCGCGAUACAGGGUGACAGCCCCGUACACAAAAGCGCAUGUGUUGUGAGCUCGAUGAGUAGGGCGGGACACGUGGUAUCCUGUCUGAAUAUGGGGGGACCAUCCUCCAAGGCUAAAUACUCCUGACUGACCGAUAGUGAACCAGUACCGUGAGGGAAAGGCGAAAAGAACCCCGGCGAGGGGAGUGAAAAAGAACCUGAAACCGU